GAGUGCCUCGACCUCCCCUACUCUGCCUCUGAUUCCCACUAGGAAAGGAGAUGCAAGGAAGGUCUUGAUUUUGCACAGAUUGUCCGUGUCCUCUGGCAUCAGAUGACAACUCUAAGAUAUAAAAGUCCAUUCUCCUAACAUAGGUGCAUUCUUUCAGUACAGGUCAGUAAAGAGAUCAUAUGUUGUAGUAGCUUGACCGUGUCACACCAUGUGAGUUA